rnacentral:rRNA from 1 species
UUGGAAUGAGGCACUCUGAUCAGCCAUGCCGCGUGCAGGAAGACGGCCCUAUGGGUUGUAAACUGCUUUUAUCUGGGAAUAAACCUUUUUACGUGUAAGAAGCUGAAUGUACCAGAAGAAUAAGGAUCGGCUAACUCCGUGCCAGCAGCCGCGGUAAUACGGAGGAUCCAAGCGUUAUCCGGAUUUAUUGGGUUUAAAGGGUGCGUAGGCGGCCUGUUAAGUCAGAGGUGAAAGACGGUAGCUCAACUAUCGCAGUGCCUUUGAUACUGACGGGCUUGAAUAAACUAGAGGUAGGCGGAAUGAGACAAGUAGCGGUGAAAUGCAUAGAUAUGUCUCAGAACACCGAUUGCGAAGGCAGCUUACUAUGGUUUUAUUGACGCUGAGGCACGAAAGCGUGGGGAUCAAACAGGAUUAGAUACCCUGGUAGUCCACGCCCUAAACGAUGAAUACUCGCUGUUAGCGAUAUACAGUUAGCGGCUAAGCGAAAGCGUUAAGUAUUCCACCUGGGGAGUACGCUCGCAAGAGUGAAACUCAAAAAAAAUUGACGGA